rnacentral:rRNA from 1 species
UACGUAGGGGGCAAGCGUUGUCCGGAUUUAUUGGGCGUAAAGAGCGUGUAGGCGGCUAGGUAGGUCCGUUGUGAAAACUCGAGGCUCAACCUCGAGACGCCGAUGGAAACCAUCUAGCUAGAGUCCGGAAGAGGAGAGUGGAAUUCCUGGUGUAGCGGUGAAAUGCGCAGAUAUCAGGAAGAACACCCGUGGCGAAGGCGGCUCUCUGGGACGGUACUGACGCUGAGACGCGAAAGCGUGGGGAGCGAACAGG